rnacentral:rRNA from 1 species
AGAGUUUGAUCCUGGCUCAGAUUGAACGCUGGCGGUAUGCCUAACACAUGCAAGUCGAGCGGGUUGUAGCAAUACAGCUAGCGGCGGACGGGUGAGGAAUACAUAGGAAUUUGCCUUUAGGUGGGGGAUAGCCCAGGGAAACUUGGAGUAAUACCGCAUGAUCUCGUGAGAGCAAAGCCGGGGACCGCAAGGCCUGGCGCCUUUAGAGAAGCCUAUGUCGGAUUAGCUUGUUGGUAGGGUAAAGGCCUACCAAGGCGACGAUCAGUAGCUGG